rnacentral:rRNA from 1 species
GUGCCAGCCGCAGCGGUAAUACGAAGGGUGCAAGCGUUAAUCGGAAUUACUGGGCGUAAAGCGUGCGUAGGCGGCUUUUUAAGUCGGAUGUGAAAUCCCCGGGCUCAACCUAGGAAUGGCAUCCGAUACUGGGGAGCUGGAGUUUGGGAGAGGGUGGUGGAAUUCCCGGUGUAGCGGUGAAAUGCGUAGAGAUCGGGAGGAACAUCAGUGGCGAAGGCGGCCACCUGGCCUAAAACUGACGCUGAGGCACGAAAGCGUGGGGAUCAAACAGGAUUAGAUACCCUGGUAGUCCACGCCCUAAACGAUGAGUACUAGAUGUUGGUCCCAUAGGGGUCAGUAUCCAAGCUAACGCAUUAAGUACUCCACCUGGGAAGUACGAUCGCAAGGUUGAAACUCAAAUGAAUUGACGGGG